rnacentral:rRNA from 1 species
GACAGAGGCCUCGAGCGUUAGGCGGAAUCACUGGGCUUAAAGCGUGUGUAGGCGGAUCGUUAAGUGUGUUGUGAAAUCCCACGGCUCAACCGUGGAACGGCUGGGCAUACUGGCGAUCUUGAGUAGCCUAGGGGCGACCGGAACAAACGGUGGAGCGGUGAAAUGCGUAGAUAUCGUUUGGAACGCCGAUGGUGAAAACAGGUCGCUGGGGGCUUGCUGACGCUGAGACACGAAGGCCAGGGGAGCAAACGGG